rnacentral:sRNA from 1 species
UGAGCCUCCAGUGUACACAUCGGACAGGACUGCACAUUCCUUAACUUGACAGCAGUCACUGGAAAGAGCAUUCAAUGAACAGGCAAAGGUCCCGAGACUC